AUUGAACGCUGGCGGCGUGCUUUACACAUGCAAGUCGGACGAGUGGGGAACGGGUGAGUAACGCAUCGGAACGUACCGAGUAAUGGGGGAUAACUGUCCGAAAGGACAGCUAAUACCGCAUAGUAUUCGAGCGGCCGAUGUCUGAUUAGCUGGGUGGCGGGGUAAAGGCCCACCAAGGCGACGAUCAGUAGCGGGUCUGAGAGGAUGAUUCCCCAACGUGGGAAUGAGACACGGACCAGACUCUUGCGGGAGGAAGGAGGGGGGACUUUUGGACAAUGGGAGCAAGCCUGAUCCAGCCAUGCCGGGUAUAUGAAGAAGGCCUUCGGGUUGUAAAGGACUUUUGUCAGGGAAGCGGUACCUGAAGAAGAAGAACGGCUAACUACGUGCCAGCAGCCGCGGUAAUUC
rnacentral:rRNA from 1 species